rnacentral:rRNA from 1 species
UACGAAGGGGGCUAGCGUUGCUCGGAAUCACUGGGCGUAAAGCGCCCGUAGGCGGCUUUCUAAGUCAGAGGUGAAAUCCUGGAGCUCAACUCCAGAACUGCCUUUGAUACUGGAAAGCUUGAGUUCGGGAGAGGUGAGUGGAACUGCGAGUGUAGAGGUGAAAUUCGUAGAUAUUCGCAAGAACACCAGUGGCGAAGGCGGCUCACUGGCCCGAUACUGACGCUGAGGUGCGAAAGCGUGGGGAGCAAACAGG